CCGCCCAUAGCUCAGUUGGUAGAGCAACAGCCUUUUAAGCUGAUGGUCCUAGGUUCGAGUCCUAGUGGGCGGA
rnacentral:tRNA from 1 species